AUUGCUGAUUGGUUGACACAAACACAAAGCAACUUGUUGCUGAUUGGUUAACACAAGUACAAAGCAAAGGUUACAUAUAGGCAUUAAUCACCAAUAGAUUAAAGGCUGGGAAAGGGAGCACAGAAUUAGACAGGCAUGAAACCUCCUAAUUAAAUUAUAACUAGUGAUUGAUAUAGCAAGACUAAAACAAUUACUAAUGAUUGAUCAUAACAUGAAAGAAUAUAAUAAUCGUGUUCCGUAGAUGUGGUCAACUAUGCAUUAAGAACAGGUCAGAGUAUAAUGUUUUCAUGACCUUAAUAUGAACUGAACAUCCUAGGGAGAUGAGGGAAUGUCUUGGUAUUUAGAACGGGUUGUGCAGCAUGUGCAGAAGCAGAGAAAAGCUUAGAAGCAAGACUUCCCAUCAUGCCACAGUUAUGUGCAGAAGCAGAGCUUCCCUUCAUCUCCCUCUUUCUUUUCUUGUUUGCGAGGUGUUCUGGGUGAAUAAGACAAAAAUACUUCGGGAUACGUGGUAUGCCAGCGCAUGCCUGAAAUAAGUUCGCCAGGGUUGAUGGGACAAAAAUACUUCGGGAUACGUGGUAUGCCAGCGCAUGCCCGAAAUAAGUCCGUCCACAUCUCCCCUAAUGUUUACUGUUGGUGCUGCCAUUUCGCAAAGUAGGCAGCAAUGAUUUUAUUGGGUGGCUGAGGGGGAGAGAGAAGCCGAGACAAAAGACUUAUGAGUCCAGGAAUGCAUUGGAGGAAGCAACAUAGCAAAAUUAAUAUACAUAUAAUGACAAUGGCAUAUUGAAAGAGAUUACGAAGCCAAGUCAGGUUUGGCAACCAAGCGGUAAGCCACUGGGUGAAAGAAUCCCAGAGGCCAGAAAAUCCAACGUCCUGUUUAAUGUGGUGUGUAAGAUUUUGCAAAUGAGAGAUUUGGCUUUGAAUGGCUUUAGAAUUAUCAGUAAUAUUGAAACAACACAUGUCGGCCACUUGUUCACGGCCAUAAUGAUGAAGCAUCAAUAAAUAAUCGACAGCAGUGCAGUUUUGCAGAAGGCCAUGCUGGAGUUCACUCUGUUCUUUAUGGGAGCCUUUAGGACUGGUGCUAUAUGGUCCCAGUUGCCACUCCCAGGCCCCAGUCCAGUUGCCGCAUUCUGGAUUAGUUGUAGUUUCUGAGGCACCUUCAAAGGUAGCCCCAUGUAGAUCGCAUGGCAUUAGUCCAAGCAGGAGAUAAUGCUUGUCAUCCUAAGAGCUGUGCUUCUCUCUUCCAGUUCUAUGUGGUGAAAGUGGACUAUGACAAGCUGAAAAAGGAGCGCCCAGAUUUCAGAAGAGCAAAUGUUCUCCCUCUACAAGCUGCAAAAGUUGAAGUGGUUUAGGUCUUCCAGAAGCCACCCGCACAACUCAUACACUUAAAUCAUCCAGCAAAUCUUAAAACUGAUUGCACAAUGAGCUUAAGUUAGGCAUGUCCAAAGUCCGUUUUGGGGGCCAAAACCGGCGGUUGGUUUAAUCUGGCCCCUGUGGCAGUUUAUUUCCUGGGGUAAAAAACUGAAAAACCUCAACAACUUCAAUUCUAAAAAAAGGUUAACACCUUUGGUUGGCCCUUUGGUCAGCCCUCACAGCCCUUCACUUCAUCAAAUCUGGCCCACUUUGAGAAAAGUUUUGACACCACUGAAGGGUUAAAGUCAAAGAGUUCAAGAGAAGCAGAGAAGGGGGUGCUGAAUGUUAGCAGUUUCAUUCUCUCCUGUGAUGCAGAGUGUGUGUGACUACUGGAUCACAUGCUCUGUGUUGACAUUCUUUGGAAGCUGGGAAUGGAAGGAACUGUGUGCCACUUCCGUCUUCUUUGUUCUUUGUUCUUUUCUGUUGUUCUCUCAUGGAGGGCCCCCCCAUGCUGCUUCCGUUGGAAAAGGGGCGUGGUUUAAGUAGCCCGGUCGCCUUUCCCAUUCCCACUGUGCCCUGCCCCUUUCCCUGCAAGUGUUCAGGUGAGUUCAAAAUGCCUUGGGGCGCAGCAAGCUUGGGGAGGGGCUGGGGGGAGGAUGCAAUGCCAGUGUGAUGAUGGAAGGGGAGAUAGCAGGCAGGGAAGCUGCUGGGCAGGUGGGGGAGGGAAAGAGACCCUCCCUCCAAAAAAUGAAGGGAGGUGGGUGUGCAUCUGAGGUCCCUCCCCGCAUUUUGAGUAUUCCAAAUAGCAAUAUGGAUACUAUAAACACAUGCAGAAAGGCAAACGUUUCCUCAAUUUCAGCUGAGUUUCUUGCAAUCCAGGGGGUUGGACAACCUAUUUCUUAAUAGGUUUAAUUGGGUUUAGUGCUUUUGAUGGGGCAGUGGGGAGAGAGAAGAAAAUGAGGGAGGAAACAUUAGGCCACAUUAGGAGCACCGUCCAUUGAAAGUGCUAUGAAGCCGCUUUAAACAGGAAUGGCUUCCCCUCAGGGAUUCUGGGAACUGUAGGUGGUUAAGGGGAUGGAGGGUUGUUAGGGUGGUUUAGGAUUAGGGUUAGGGUUAGGGUUAUGAUUGGGUUAGGGUAGAGUAGGAAUAGGGUUCCUUCUUGCCAGGGAACUCUGGAAUUGUAGCUCUAGUUAAGAGGCAGGGGUAGGGGUAGGGGUAGGGGUAGGGGUGGGGUUCCCUUCUUGCCAGGGAACUCUGGGAAUUGUAGCUCUAAUUAGUGGGCAGGGUUAGGGUUCCCUUCUUGCCAGGGAACACUGAAUUGUAGCACUAGUUAAGGGAUAAGGGUUAGCAUUAGGGUUAGAGUUAGGGUUAGACUCAGGGGUAGGGAUAAGGUUCCCUUCUUAGCAGGGAACAGGGGGUCUCCUAACAACUCUCAGCACCCUUUUCAAACUAUAGCUCCCAGAUUCUUUGGGGGAAGAAGCCAUGAGUGUUUAAAGCGGCUUCAUAGCGCGUUAUAUGGUGUGGAUGUGGCCCUGACCUCGCUCACCCCACUGCCUCUUAUCAAUGAAGAAUCGAAAGUUAAUGGCAAUUGUGAAUUCACAUGAUGUGAAUUGUGAAUUAUGAUUCACAAUAAUUAUGAAUUAUUAUUUACGAUCUACGAUUCAUGAUAUUUAUGAAUUAUGGAUUCUGAUUCAUGAUUUUCAAAGCAUGAUAUUUAUGAACUAUGAAUUAUGAAUUAUGAAUUACAAUUAAUAUUUAUGAAUUAUGAUUUAUGAUUCAUGCUAUUUAUGAAUCACGAAUCAUGAAUUAUGAAUCACGAUUUAUGAUUCACGAUUCAUGAUUUAGGAUUCAUGAUAUUUAUGAAUUAUGAUUUAGGAUUCAUGAUUUAGGAUUCAUGAUAUUUAUGAAUUAUGAAUUGUGAUUUAUGAUUACGAUUCAUGAUAUUUAUGAAUUAUGAAUUGCCAUUAACUUGAAAUGCCAAUAAAAGUUAUUGUAUUGUAUUGUGUUGUGCUGUGUUGUAUUCUAUUAUGAUUAACAUGGGAAGUGGAAUGGUAAAAUGUUAAUGAGAUGAACACGAUACUUCUGUAAACUGGCACGCCCCUUCUUGUGGGCGUGGAAGGAGGGACUUGCGGCUGGACAAGCAACUUUAUAAGAUGUUUUUCUUGAUGAAGAUGUGCCUGAUCUUGGCUUACCCCAUUUGCAAAUGUGUGUAAUAAAAAACUUUCCUAAUUCACCCAUUUUGUCCAGAUCACUUUAUUUAAAAGGAUCCAUAGACCUAAGUCAAAGUAAACAGUUUAUUUAUUUCUCACAAAGGGCAAAAUAAAUAAAUAAUACCAAUCCCUCAACUACGAAAAGCAAAGUUUUUGCAGCAGUGUAAAAACUAACAGAUUUGGGGAAAACCUUUUUUAAAUGGUAGGGUCAGGUGGCCUUGGUGGGUGCUAAGGAGGGUUUCUGAGGGUGCCAUGGAGUCCACAUGCCACACGUGUCACGCGGGGAGGGGCUCAUCAGUCAUUAUUUGUUUAUUAAUAAAUGCACCCCCCCUUGAGGCCUAGUUUCCACAGCCCUGUCUAUGUAUGGUCUCCUGUGAUGUCACAAACAGACAUAGCAGCUGAGGGGAAAGAGGCAGUUUCUUAUUCUAGAAUUUCAAACACAAGAGGGCAGGAGGGGGACAUUUUUCAGCCCAGGGGCUGCAUUUCCCUCCACACAACACUAGUCCAAUGUACAAAUGAAUGGAGCAAUGAAAGCAAGCCUUAUCUUUGCAGAGGAAGCUGUUCAAGGAAUGACAUGCAGAAAUAAAGCACUAAACCCAAUUAAACCUAUUAAGAAAUAGGUUGUCCAACCCCCUGGAUUGCAAGAAACUCAGCUGAAAUUGAGGAAACGUUUGCCUUUCUGCAUGUGUUUAAAGUAUCCAUAUUGCCAUUUGGGCGUGCUUUCAAACUGCUAGGUUGGCAGGAGCUGGAACUGAGCAACAGCAGCUCACCCCAUUGUGGGGAUUGGAACUGAGCCACGAGAGCUCAUCUCGCUUUACAGGCCGAGGGAGACGGCGUUUGUCCGCAGACAGUUUUUCCGGGUCAUGUGGUCAGCAUGACUAAGCCACUUCUGGCGAAGCCAGAGCAGUGCAUGGAAAGGCCGUUUACCUUCCUGUUGUUGUGGUACCUAUUGCACUUUUGGGAGUGCUUUCAAACUGCUAGGUUGGCAGGAGCUGGGACUGAGCAACAGCAGCUUACCCUGUUGUGGGGAUUUGAACCGCUGACCCUCUGAUCGGUAAGCCCAAGAGGCUCAGUAGUUUAGACCACAGCACCACCCGUGUCAUAGUCCACCAUUAAUCCUGGGCAAUUAUCCAAAACUCUGUCUUGGCCUCCUUCCAGCUGUUAAUAAGAUGAUGCCUCCACACUGAAACAAUAGCUCCAUCAGGAUUUCCUUUCAUCUUUCCCUUAAUGAUCAUUGCCAGAAUCAUAGUCAAAAUUUCACACAGUCCAUUUCGUAAUUAAGAUAGCAUUCACUUACGUAUUUCAAGCCAUUUUGUUUUGGUCUUGACAAAAGUCUUUCCCCAGAUCAAAUCCUUCUCAGUGGCUGAUUAAAUCAGCAAGUUAUUUUAUCUCCGCUGGUUCAGAGCAUGCCCGUUAAGUCCGAAUUUUUAUCUUAAAAAUAGGUGUCCUUUGCUCAUGGGGCCAGCUUUGGAUAGUUGCCACAACUGUGUGACUUACACACAGCUGCCCCUGUCCCCUCUUCCUUCUGGACGGACAGCAGGUAUCAGGACGAUCUGUGGUUGGAGUGCCCCCCCAACCCUGGGAGGGUUGGAGGGAUAAUUACUCCCAUAUUAUCCUCAAUUACCAGCAUGGAAUGGCUCCUUUGUAAUUGGCAUAGCCAAUUGUCAUGGCAGACAAACAGGAAGUGCGAGCUCAUUGAGUAUUUAAACACUGAAGCCCAAACAAAGCUUUUGUUUUCCUUUAGGUCUCAGUCAUUUGAGAACGUGAAAGAACAUUUUGUGAAAGCCAAUAAUAAUAAUAAUAAUAAUAAUAAUAAUAAUAAUAAUAAUUUAUUUAUAUCCUGCCCAUCUGAAGUGCUCCGUUUUAGGUUUCUGUUUCAGUGGUCUCAAGCAAGGCUUAAUUCUUCUCUGGAUUGCAUUGAAUGCUUUUGAACUCCCAGAACAAGCGCUUAAACCUUUUAACAGCUCAUGUUGCAAAACUAAACGGUGACAUUAUUCAAGGCCAGACACCUCAUUUUCAUUGUUUAUCCUUACUCAACUGCACCUGGCUCCCCCCUGAAAAUCAGCUGCUGGGGCUGAGAGCAAGACACAAGGAAGUAUUUUCAGAGCUGAACUGCAAGAAACUUACUAAGUGCCUAGGAGCCCUAAACAGGCAGUUAAUAUUAUGAUACUUCUGCCUCACACGCACUGAAAUUAUACCCCUUUGCUUCAAUGGAAGGAAAGGAUCUCUAAUCAUUCAGCUUUAAUGGGCUUAAAAGACAUUUUGCAGGAAGAAUCACGAGUCAAUGGCAGAAACUUAGGGAUCUAUCAUGCUUAUUCAGUCAGAGUUUAGAAGAUUGAACUGGAGAGGAGAGUGAAGAAUCAUAGAAGGGACCCGAGGGUCAUCUAGUCCAACCCCAAAAUGCUGUGAUCACAUACCCCAGGCCUUCCAAACCUGAAGCUUAUUAUUCCUCCCACCAAAUGGUCUUUAUUAUUAUCAUUAUUACUUGCCCUUCAGCCAUAGAUGUCAGGGAUGGGGCUGGUGGAAGUUGGAGUCCCAACAAUCUCUGCUGGACACCAGGCUCCCCAUCCCUGGCCUAUACGAUAACCAGCAUCAUAACCCUAGUUAAGUAUUUCAUACCAUACCUUGUACUGGUCAUUGGGUCCUAGCUCGUUCCAAGGCUCUGGGUUGCUCUUUUUGUCCCAGCCAGGCAGAAAAAUGUGACCAGAGGCAGACAGCAAGGAGCACAUCUGUGUAAGAAGAAGAAAAAAUACUAAACAGAUAAUAAAUACUGUGAGUAUGGCAGCCUCUCAAAUGGAGAAAAAUGUGAAUUCACUGGCACAGGUGAUGGGACAAUUUAAAGAACUGAAUGUUAAAACCACUGAGGUGGAACAAGAAGAGGUGUGAGGUUUGAGGAAAAUACGGGGGAAACAAAAGGUGGUGGUAGAUGAAACCAGCACCUCGUGGGAAUUGCUCUGGGGUGCCAUGGCUAUUUUGGAAAUGAAACAGGAAAGGAGGGUGACUCGUUUGAGAGGCUACUAUAUGUGGUGGCAAUGUAAGGUUAUUUUAAAAGCUUUGAUAAUGAUAUAGAAUGAUUUGAAGAAAAUGCUUAAAAUAACCUUUGUUAAAAAAAAUGGAAGCCUUGACACUGGUUUAUCAAGGAUUAAAUGUUUUCAUAGAGCAGAAGAAUUUCCUCCUGUAUCUGAUAGCAGCUGCUCAGCCAUGAUCAUCCCAGAAUUUGAAAAAGAAGAAGCCCCCACCAAAGAAGAUAAAGAAGAUUGGUAAAGCAAAUUAAUGGACUAUGCAGAAUUGAUUAAUUAAUUAGAAACCCAACAAAAUAAGAGGACAAUAAUUUGAAAAAUGUGAAAUAUUUAUUGCAUAUUUCCAUAGCACUGUGUACACUAUUAUACAUUAUCAGGAAUUUGAAAAACACUUGUAAUAUGAUGAAUAAUGUAUAAAAUUGGAAAUUAUUGUGAAUUGAAGAUAUUAAGGACGUGCAUGAACAAAUGUAAAACAAGAAAACCAAGAAGGGGAGUAGAGGGAAGUCAAGGAAUUUUAGAAAUCUCAUCUUUGCGAGUUAUUAUGGAUUGCAUAUAUAGUUGAUCUAAGGAUUAUGGUAUGGUUAUUUUUAUGUGGUAUUUUUUGUUAUAUCACAUAAAACACUAUUUUUAAAAAAGGAAUGCAAUUUCUCAUGUAUCAACUGUUCUCCUGGAGACAAAUAUACUGCUAUCUUGGGAAACGUUCAUCAAGCAAGGCAUUUGUCUUGUGCAAAAAUAACUUGUACUCAUAUGCAAGAUAAUUGACCAUUUUGUUUCUAGUGAAAUAAAAUUUCUUAAAAGAAAGGAAUAA
rnacentral:lncRNA from 1 species